CCCUUAGAUGUUCUGGGCUGCACGCGCGCUACACUGAAGCGUUCAACGAGUAUUCACCUUGCCCGGGAGGGUUGGGUAAUCUUUUGAAAACGCUUCGUGAUGGGGAUAGAUUAUUGCAAUUAUUAAUCUUCAACGAGGAAUUCCUAGUAAGCGCGAGUCAUAAGCUUGCGCUGACUACGUCCCUGCCCUUUGUACACACCGCCCGUCGCUACUACCGAUUGAAUGAUUUAGUGAGGACUUCGGACUGGGACCGAUGCGGCUUUCGGGCUGCGUCGGUAUUCUGGAAAGAUGUCCAAACUGUAUCAUUUAGAGGAAGUAAAAGUCGUAACA
rnacentral:rRNA from 1 species